rnacentral:rRNA from 1 species
GACGAACGCUGGCGGCGUGCCUAAUACAUGCAAGUAGAACGCACAGUUUAUACCGUAGCUUGCUACACCAUAGACUGUGAGUUGCGAACGGGUGAGUAACGCGUAGGUAACCUGCCUGGUAGCGGGGGAUAACUAUUGGAAACGAUAGCUAAUACCGCAUAAUAUUAAUUAUUGCAUGAUAAUUGAUUGAAAGAUGCAACUGCAUCACUACCAGAUGGACCUGCGUUGUAUUAGCUAGUAGGUGAGGUAACGGCUCACCUAGGCGACGAUACAUAGCCGAACUGAGAGGGUGAUCGGCCACACUGGGACUGAGACACGGCCCAGACUCCUACGGGAGGCAGCAGUAGGGAAUCUUCGGCAAGGGACGAAAGUCUGAACGAGCAACGCCGCGUGAGUGAAGAAGGUUGUCGGAUCGUAAAGCUCUGUUGUAAGAGAAGAACGGGUGUGAGAGUGGAAAGUUCACACUGUGACGGUAUCUUACCAGAAAGGGACGGCUAACUACGUG